rnacentral:lncRNA from 1 species
GUUGAAGCCAAAAUUCUCAGAUUCGAUCUUUUAUAUUUUGCUAUAUCCCUCCGCCUCGAGUUUUUGACGGCGGCAGUUUCCACAGUGCUUCCACGUGUGUUUUUUGUCCUUUUUUUCUUUUAAGGGAGGUAAUUAUUUACCAAGUGAGAUUAGUAGGCUUCUGAAACGUUCUGAAAGAGAGGAGCCACAUUUGGACUUUGUACGACUCUUGUGUGGGGUGGGGAAGGAUUCUUUUCUUGGGGGCAAGGAUUCCAUUUUUGAGUCUGUGAGGGGCGUGCGAGGGUUUUCCUUCGCUGAGAGGACUUCCUUCGCUCAGACGAGUCCUCCGUGCCGUGGGAGGAGGUCGUGUCGCGGCGGGAGAGAAGAGUGUCCCUCACAGGUAGCCUGUGCGUGGGGCUGCUCUGGAGCUCAGGGUUGGCUCCCUUGUGGGCCAGAGCUUUGGGUAGCAGCUUCGUCCAACCACUGGGACGUCAAAGGGAUACCACAACUCGCGUGAUCCGAAUACCAUCUCUUGAUCACUGUACCUGAUUGUGGGUGGCAUUGUCCAGGCAUUAAGUUGUGUGCCUUUGUUCCUGGGAGAAAGGUAGGGAUUGGAGCACUUGAGUAGAUAGAUUUAUUACGUAGUAAGUUCGCG